GCUCACUUUGGCUGCACCUACAGUAAUAUUGGGAGGAUACACAGAAGUCCUGCAUGGCCGCUGUGCAAGGGUGACACACAAAGGUGUGCAGCGUUUUGUAUUUUU
ensembl:snRNA U6 U6 spliceosomal RNA